GUGCUCAUGUCAGCAGCACAUAUACUAAAAUUGGACCAUACAGAGAUUAGCAUGGCUCCUGUGCAAGGAUAACAAGAAAAUUCAUGAAGCAUAUUUUUCUUUU